rnacentral:rRNA from 1 species
GAUGAACGCUGCGGCGUGCCUAAUCCCUGCAAGUCGAGCGAACAGACGAGGAGCUUGCUCCUCUGACGUUAGCGGCGGACGGGUGAGUAACACGUGGAUAACCUACCUAUAAGACUGGGAUAACUUCGGGAAACCGGAGCUAAUACCGGAUAAUAUAUUGAACCGCAUGGUUCAAUAGUGAAAGACGGUUUUGCUGUCACUUAUAGAUGGAUCCGCGCCGCAUUAGCUAGUUGGUAAGGUAACGGCUUACCAAGGCAACGAUGCGUAGCCGACCUGAGAGGGUGAUCGGCCACACUGGAACUGAGACACGGUCCAGACUCCUACGGGAGGCAGCAGUAGGGAAUCUUCCGCAAUGGGCGAAAGCCUGACGGAGCAACGCCGCGUGAGUGAUGAAGGUCUUCGGAUCGUAAAACUCUGUUAUUAGGGAAGAACAAAUGUGUAAGUAACUAUGCACGUCUUGACGGUACCUAAUCAGAAAGCCACGGCUAACUACGUG